CGUGUAGGUGGAUAAUUAAGUCAGAGGUGAAAUCCUGCAGCUCAACUGUAGAAUUGCCUUUGAUACUGGUUAUCUUGAGUCAUUAUGAAGUGGUUAGAAUGUGUAGUGUAGCGGUGAAAUGCAUAGAUAUUACACAGAAUACCGAUUGCGAAGGCAGAUCACUAAUAAUGUACUGACACUGAGGGACGAAAGCGUGGGGAGCGAACAGGAUUAGAUACCCUGGUAGUCC
rnacentral:rRNA from 1 species